rnacentral:rRNA from 1 species
AUUGAACGCUGGCGGCAGGCCUAACACAUGCAAGUCGAGCGGAUGGAGGGAGCUUGCUCCUGGAUUCAGCGGCGGACGGGUGAGUAAUGCCUAGGAAUCUGCCUGGUAGUGGGGGAUAACGUCCGGAAACGGGCGCUAAUACCGCAUACGUCCUGAGGGAGAAAGUGGGGGAUCUUCGGACCUCACGCUAUCAGAUGAGCCUAGGUCGGAUUAGCUAGUUGGUGGGGUAAAGGCCUACCAAGGCGACGAUCCGUAACUGGUCUGAGAGGAUGAUCAGUCACACUGGAACUGAGACACGGUCCAGACUCCUAAGGGAGGCAGCAGUGGGGAAUAUUGGACAAUGGGCGAAAGCCUGAUCCAGCCAUGCCGCGUGUGUGAAGAAGGUCUUCGGAUUGUAAAGCACUUUAAGUUGGGAGGAAGGGCAGUAAGUUAAUACCUUGCUGUUUUGACGUUACCAACAGAAUAAGCACCGGCUAACUUCGUG